UAUUAGGUUGGUGCAAAAGUAAUUGCAGUUUUUCCCACCUAUUUUUGGCAAAAAUCUCAAUUACUUUUGCACCAACUUAAUACUU
rnacentral:miRNA from 1 species